rnacentral:rRNA from 1 species
GAUGAACGCUGGCGGCGUGCUUAACACAUGCAAGUCGAGCGAACAGACGAUGAGCUUGCUCCUUUGACGUUAGCGGCGGACGGGUGAGUAACACGUGUAUACCCUACCUAUAUGACUGGGAAAACUUCGGGAAACCGGAUCUAAUACCGGAUAAUAUAUUGAUCCGUAGGGUUCAAUAGUGAAAGACGGUUUUGCUGUCACUUAUAGAUGCAUCCGCGCCGCAUUAGCUAGUUGUUAAGCUAACGGCUUAUCAAGGCUACGAUGCGUAGCCGAAGUGAGAGAGUGAUCGGCGACACUGGAGCUGAGACGGGGUCAAGACUCCUGCGAGAGGCAGCAGUAGGGAAUGUGACGCAGCAGGCGAGAGCAUGGCGGAGCGGCGGCGCGUGAGUGAUAGCGGUGUUGCGAGCGUGAAGCUCUGUUACUAGGGGUAAACAGCUGUGGAAGGAGCCGUGGCGGGCUUGACGGUACUGGGUCAGAAAGCACCGGCUAACUACGUG